rnacentral:rRNA from 1 species
UGGGGAAUAUUGCACAAUGGGCGCAAGCCUGAUGCAGCAACGCCGCGUGAAGGAAGACGGUUUUCGGAUUGUAAACUUCUGUUCUUAGUGAAGAAGAAUGACGGUAGCUAAGGAGCAAGCCACGGCUAACUACGUGCC